CUGCCACCAGGCAGGACCCAGCGGGUAAGUAUAUCCUUCUCUUUUACCUAUUUCCCAGGUGAGAUGCAGAGAUCAAGAUUCUCAUUCAGGAACCUUUGGUGGUGUCCUCAGCGAGCCCAUGGCUGACUUGGUGGCUCUUCUCGUGUUUGGAACAGAACCAGAUAUGAUGCGGGAUGGGUCAACCAUUCCAACAGCCAAAAUGAUCCAGGACAUCAUUCAAAAGAGCGUGAUGAUGCUUCCACCGGGGGCUGUUGAUGAUGGGGAACACUCUCAGAGUGAGAAGAUCCACAGGUCAGCAGGUCCCUGUGUGGACUGGGUCCCGCUGCACAAGCCCAGGGGUGCAUGUGGUCAGGCCCCCUCUCCUUAGGUGACAAU
rnacentral:lncRNA from 1 species